GUGCUCGAUUCUUUUGCAGCGCUUACUGCGCGGCGAAAACCUUACACACAGUGUCUUUUUGAUACAGAACUCUUGCUUUGGUUUGGCCUAGAGAUAGGUUGGGCCAGAGGUUUAACAAAACACAAUUUAAUUAUUUUUACAGUUAGUCAAAUUUUGAAUUAAUCUUCAAAACUUUCAACAACGGAUCUCUUGGUUCUCGCAUCGAUGAAGAACGCAGCGAAAUGCGAUAAGUAAUAUGAAUUGCAGAUUUUCGUGAAUCAUCGAAUCUUUGAACGCACAUUGCGCCCUCUGGUAUUCCAGAGGGCAUGCCUGUUUGAGCGUCAUUUCUCUCUCAAACCCCCGGGUUUGGUAUUGAGUGAUACUCUUAGUCGGACUAGGCGUUUGCUUGAAAAGUAUUGGCAUGGGUAGUACUGGAUAGUGCUGUCGACCUCUCAAUGUAUUAGGUUUAUCCAACUCGUUGAAUGGUGUGGCGGGAUAUUUCUGGUAUUGUUGGCCCGGCCUUACAACAACCAAACAAGUUUGACCUCAAAUCAGGUAGGAAUACCCGCUGAACUUAAGCAUAUCAAAAGCCGGAGGAA
rnacentral:rRNA from 1 species